ACGGGAGGCAGCAGUGGGGAAUAUUGCACAAUGGGCGCAAGCCUGAUGCAGCCAUGCCGCGUGUAUGAAGAAGGCCUUCGGGUUGUAAAGUACUUUCAGCAGGGAGGAAGGUGUUGUGGUUAAUAACCGCAGCAAUUGACGUUACCCGCAGAAGAAGCACCGGCUAACUCCGUGCCAGCAGCCGCGGUAAUACGGAGGGUG
rnacentral:rRNA from 1 species